AAUGGAUACUAGUCUUCGGAUGCUGACGAGUGGCGAACGGGUGAGUAAUGCAUCGGAACGUGCCCAGUAGUGGGGGAUAGCCCGGCGAAAGCCGGAUUAAUACCGCAUACGACCUGAGGGUGAAAGGGGGGGAUCGCAGGACCUCUCGCUAUUGGAGCGGCCGAUGUCGGAUUAGCUAGUUGGUGGGGUAAAGGCCUACCAAGGCAACGAUCUGUAGUUGGUCUGAGAGGACGACCAGCCACACUGGGACUGAGACACGGCCCAGACUCCUACGGGAGGCAGCAGUGGGGAAUUUUGGACAAUGGGCGCAAGCCUGAUCCACCAAUGCCGCGUGCAGGAAGAAGGCCUUCGGGUUGUAAACUGCUUUUGUCAGGGAAGAAAUCUUCUGGGUUAAUACCUCGGGAGGAUGACGGUACCUGAAGAAUAAACACCGGCUAACUACGUGCGGGCCGCCGCGGUAAUACGGAGGGUGCGAGCGUUAAUCGGAAUUACUGGGCGUAAAGCGUGCGCAGGCGGCUUUGCGGGACAGAGGUUGAUCCGGGGGCUCAACCUGGGAACUGAAUUUGUGACUGCCGGGCCCCAGUACGGCCGACGGGGAUGGAAUUCCGCCUUGUGGCACUGAAAUGCCUACAUAUGCUUAGGAACAAAAAUGGCCACAUCCAUCCCCUGGCCCUGUACUGACGGGGAUGCGGGAAAGCGUGGGGAGCAGACAGGAUUAGAUACCCUGAUAUGCCACGCCCUAGACGAUGUCAACUGAUUGUUGGACGGCUUGAUGUUCAGGGACGAAGCUCACGCUUGAAGUUGACCGGGUGGCGAGUAAUCCCCAGGUUGAACCUCAAACGACUUGAGGGGGGCACCGCACAUGCUGUGCAUGAUGUCGUUUACUGUCAAUGCAUCCAAAAAAACGUACCUACCCUUACGGUGACAAUUCGUCAAGC
rnacentral:rRNA from 1 species